rnacentral:lncRNA from 1 species
CACACACACACACACACACACACACACACACACACACACACACACACACCUACCUCCGUGCCCCACAUGGCACCCAUAUUUCCCUCUUUAAACACAGCGUGUGCACAGAGAGCACAAUAGGCCCAUGUGUGUGUAAUGUGUGUGUGUGUUUGUGUGUCUGUCUGUGUGUGCGUGCUAUGAUUCUCCUGAUCCCUUCUUACUGCAGAACCAUUAACCUAUAUAUAUUUUGUGUUUUCCCUGGUGUUUAGUAACAUGGUUAUAUACAGGAAGCACCAGUUAGUAACAUGGCUAUAUACAGGGAGUACCAGGUAAUAACAUGGCUAUAUACAGGAAGUACCAGGUAAUAACAUGGCUAUAUACAGGAAGUACCAGGUAAUAACAUGGCUAUAUACAGGGAGUACCAGGUAAUAACAUGGCUAUAUACAGGGAGUACCAGGUAAUAACAUGGCUAUAUACAGGAAGCACCAGUUAGUAACAUGGCUAUAUACAGGGAGUACCAGGUAAUAACAUGGCUAUAUACAGGAAGUACCAGGUAAUAACAUGGCUAUAUACAGGGAGUACCAGGUAAUAACAUGGUUAUAUACAGGGAGUACCAGGUAAUAACAUGGCUAUAUACAGGGAGUACCAGGUAAUAACAUGGCUAUAUACAGGAAGCACCAGUUAAUAACAUGGCUAUAUACAGGAAGCACCAGUUAAUAACAUGGCUAUAUACAGGGAGUACCAGUUAGUAACAUGGCUAUAUACAGGAAGAACCAGUUAGUAACAUGGCUAAUAACAGGGAGUACCAGUUAGUAACAUGGCUAAAUACAGUAAUGGUAGUAACGGUGACUAAGUUCAGAGCAGGGUACUGGGUGGAGGCUGGCUAGUAACAGUAACUAAGGUUCAGGGCAGGGUACUGGGUGGAGGCCGGCUAGUAACAGUGACUAAGGUUCAGGGCAGGGUACUGGGUGGAGGCCGGCUAGUAACAGUGACUAAGGUUCAGGGCAGGGUACUGGGUGGAGGCCGGCUAGUAA